rnacentral:rRNA from 1 species
UACGUAGGGUGCAAGCGUUAAUCGGAAUUACUGGGCGUAAAGCGUGCGCAGGCGGUUUUGUAAGACAGGCGUGAAAUCCCCGGGCUCAACCUGGGAAUUGCGCUUGUGACUGCAAAGCUAGAGUAUGUCAGAGGGGGGUAGAAUUCCACGUGUAGCAGUGAAAUGCGUAGAGAUGUGGAGGAAUACCGAUGGCGAAGGCAGCCCCCUGGGACAAAACUGACGCUCAUGCACGAAAGCGUGGGGAGCAAACAGG